GUGAGGCAUGUCAAACUAGAUUAAAGCAAGGAACCACCUAACAGUAGGAGCAGAUUCUUAAGCAUUGUGGAUGAUUUUUGCAUAAACCGAAGUGUUUACAUCAGUGUUGAGGUGGGAAAGAAGAUGUUGAACAUCUGGACGCAAAUUUUCUGCUGCUCUUCCAAAAAGAGCCAAAAUUUCUGAUCUGGGUUUACUAGAUGCCACCUCGUAAUGAAUAACAUGAUGCAGGAAGUCGAUAAGAUCACUUAUUUCCGUUGCUUCAAUAGGUGCUGACAGCUGUGAGUUCUUCCCAAACACAUCCACCAAAAUAUUCAAAAGCAGCGACACUGUCUUACUGAAAAGGGUAUGAGCGUUUACCAACCUCGGAAGCAAGGGACCCAUAAUGCGAAAUGAUAUUCUUAAUACUGCAACAGAUGUCACAGGCCUAAGGUGCUUAAUGAUAAGAUGAGUUCCCUCGAGCCAUUCUUGUGGGAGGUUACAGAAGAAAGCAUGUAGCAGUGCGACAAUAUUACCAAUGGCUGUUGAGGUAUUAUCCUGUGCAGCCCAGGUGGGAUCUAGUAGAGCAUAACUAACAGCCGAUUCUA
rnacentral:misc_RNA from 1 species